rnacentral:lncRNA from 1 species
GCAUAUGACUGAUGAUAGAGUUUGAUGAGUUCUCCAUGACCUCUGUCUAGUCAGGACUCACAAUAGAGAGAUUGUAUUACACGAUAACUACAUCUAAGGAUUCAUCUUUUCUAUUCUACUAGAUUGCCACUACAUGCUGUUAGGCAUUACUAGUGGAUCGUGAGAACUCACUAGAAUCAUUUUCAGAUCAACAAUCCUUAUUGAGAUGAGU